rnacentral:tRNA from 1 species
GCGCCAGUAGCUCAGUCGGAUAGAGCAACGGCCUUCUAAGCCGUGGGUCAGGGGUUCGAAUCCCUUCUGGCGUGCCA